GUACCUUUCUUGGUUGAUCCCUUUCACUGUAUGGCGUGCUCGUUUGGGUUGGGCGUCGGCUAAGAGUGCUCAGAGCGUGGAUUAACUCCAGUCUCCUAUUAGGUAAUCCUUAAGCUUAGAUGGUUUGGAGCUACGAGGGACUCGGAGAUGGCCACACUACUGUUUCUAUUUCUUUUAAUUGCAAUAAGUAACCGGUU